UACGUAGGGCGCGAGCGUUGUCUGGAUUUAUUGGGCGUAAAGAGCUCGUAGGCGGCUUGUCGCGUCGACUGUGAAAACCCGCGGCUCAACCUCGGAAUUGCAGUGGGUACGGGCAGGCUAGAGUGUGGUAGGGGAGACUGGAAUUCCUGGUGUAGCGGUGGAAUGCGCAGAUAUCAGGAGGAACACCGAUGGCGAAGGCAGGUCUCUGGGCCAUUACUGACACUGAGAAGCGAAAGCAUGGGGAGCGAACAGG
rnacentral:rRNA from 1 species